GGGCAGAAACUCGCUGAGUCAUGCAGUCUGCUAACAGCUUCACUCUGUCAACCUACUGUAAAACGUUAAGGCUCUGCAUUACAUAUCCUUAAUCAUUCUUUCUUCACACAAAAGAAUCUGAUUUUUCACAUCAAGCUUGAUGAAAAAGCUACCAGUUGGUUAUGCAAGUUCAGCACAUGGAACAGAUGCCAAGAAUUGCUGGCAGAACAUUACUGACUGAGAAAGCGAGAGACCUUUUGGAAAUUUCUAAAGCUAAUCUGUUAUCCCAGUUUUGCCCACUGACUCUUCCCCUUUGUUGGAUAUCACAAGCUUGAGUCUGGAUUCAUCUUUUCAUCCUCCCGUCAGGGUCAAAGCAUUGUCAACAUGAUCUUUAACCACGACCUGAGCUGAGUUAAACUCUUAGGAUAUGACAUCUCAGCCACGUUGCAAGGUGAUGUGAACAUUCUAAUUUUCAUCUCUGCACUGACAGAGCAUAAUAUCCAGACAGGAGUCUUCAUAGCAAUGCGAGAGUAAGCAUUGCUCAAUAAGCAAUUAUUUUAUGUGGACCUGUGGACUGUCACUGCGGUCUUCAGAGCAACUAAUCUUGAAAUCACCUUUAAAUGUUGAACCUAAGAAAUCAGUUCAGUUUUGCUCUCAGGGAAGGCACAGUAGUUCUGUUAUUGCUGAAAUUCCUGAAAGCAGAAUGCAUUACCUAUGAUUCCUGCAAUGAAGAUUUUCAAUUUCAUUGUAAUAAAAAUCUUACAUUAUAAAACCGUAAAGAAAUAAAGACUUUCACAUGGAAAGAACUGCUUCAUAUUUUAGGAGUUCUAAUUUUUCUAUAUUUGAAUGCAAACCUAUUUCAUAUCUAGUGAAGCAGUUCACAUGGUAGGUCAUUUGGUUUUGCUUUUUUUCCAUAUUUACUCAUUAGAAGACAAUGAUGGGUACAGAAAAGCAACCUAAACUAACAGUCUUAAACAACUGACAGAAUACUGUUUUAAGUAAAGAAAUGUAAUGGAAGUCACAAGAAUAAAUGAAUAUCCAGUAAUGAAUACAGAUGUGUAUGUGCUUGAAAAUAUGAACAUCAGAAGAGAAAUAUCACUUAAAGCACUGCACAGUUUAUAUCAUUUUUACGGUAUAACAUAAAAUUAUAUCCCCUGUUGUUCAUUCUUUGUCAGAUAUUUUAGUAUUGUGGAAAUACUUUUAAAUUAUUUUAAAUUCAUUGCAGGUUAAAAUGGCUAAACUCUGCUAUUCUUUACAAGCAAAAUUUCAUUAACUUAAAUGCGUGCAAAUAGUAAGAUUUUAACAUAGAUUAAAUGGAUGAUUAAGCACUCCUGGGAAAUAUCGUCAGCAACAGUAAUCAAACGCAUAAAAAAUUGUAAUUUGGAAGUAGUAUACUUUAAAACUGUGUUUGUCCAACACCAGGAGGCUUUCAGAAUAGACAUGAUUGUAGUUUUUUGAAACACUGGAGUUUGGUUUCUUUUUAAAACAAAAGCUUCAUUUCCCUAUUCUAGUCGGAUGAUCAGCAGUCCUUGCAUAAUCCUACCUACCAUCUCCUUGAUGUUUAUAUCUGUUAAAUACCUGCCAAUCUUCUUGAAUCACGUAGGUGUUCUUUAACUAAACCGUGCACAAUUAACUCACUUAAUAUCUUCUCAUAAAUUAUUUCCUUACUCUCCGAAUGGCUUUUGAUGCUAUUUCCCCCAAACCACCUGUCCUUAAAAGUUGGUAGGUGAGGAGCAACUCCAUCUUUUUGGAGCUUACUUUUGGUAAAUUGUAGGAAGACAGCAAGUCUUGAAUGUAUUGAUCUUAAGGAGUAAAUACGAUGCCUCAAAAAAAUGUGGUCAAGAUCAGACUGAAUUAAGUUAUAUUCCUGUGUGAAUAUGAAUAGUUACCUUCAAAUGGGAUGGAAUACAGAAAUACAGAGAGAUAGGAUAAAUAAAGAGAUGUUACAUUUUGAGGAAUAGGCAGUAAAGAAUAGUUCCCACUUUUAGCCUACUAAUUGGUAAAGAGGAAUUGGUACAUACACAACAGAAUAGUCAUACAUGUGUGCUUUGUUAAAAAUGACAAAAAUAGAGAUAUUCAGAAUGGAAUAAAGACGAAAGGAUGCUAAACACAACACAAUAAAGGGAAAUUUGUAGAUUGAGCAAGCACACACCCAUAUCAGACUAAGGUAACCAGCAAAAGAAAUAAGGGUUGUUAAAACACGAUGAAACAAGCAAAAUUAUUCAUCUGGUAAAUUUGUAUCCUGAUCAAUAAGGCAAAGUGAAGUAUAAUAUAGGAAGAAAACCUGUGCACUGUACUUCCGAUAAUUUUGAGACAGAAAUUGCAUAGAUUUUCACAUAAGACGUAGUUCUAACAAUGCAAAAUAAUUUCAAGCAUCAUGAAAAGAGUGAAAAUAAGUUUUCAGAAGGUUUGUCUAGCAGUAUUUGCUCCAAAUAUUUUAUUAGUGUCUUCUUCCACUUAAAAUAUAAGACACAAAUUGGUUACUAAUUUUCUGUUGUUUGUUAUACAAAAUAUGCAGUUAAGGGUACACAAAACAGGAGUUCAAUUCAUGCAUGCAAAAGCAUGCUAAUAAUCACAACUUCAUGAAGCAAAAUCAGUAGAGGACCUUCUGCCAGAUAGAAUGAUCAGCACAUAACAACUUUCAUUUUGUAAUGCUUUUAAAAAAUGUUUGUAAUAUCUUAAAGUCUUUGUAUUUCACAAGUAAACAAAAAACAGAAAAGAACCUUUUGGAAAUCACAGCAUAUUUACAGAGUGUAAAUGUUGCUCUGACAAUUAUUGUAUGUAGUACUGGCUUCUGUCCUGAAACAAACUGCAUCAGUUGUAUGGGCAGUGUUAGUUCUUAAUUUUUAUUUUCCUCCUCCGAAGAGGCACCUGUUAUUUUCCUUCCUAGUCCCUUAGGGAGGCUUUGGUUUGGGUUUUAAUAAAUCCCUUUAAAUUUAGGUUGUUUUUGUGUUGGUUUUUUUUUUUUUUUCCUCUUUUACACUAUUUGUACUAAAUGACAGUUCCAAAGUAUCCACAGCUUAACUAUUUCCCUGAGCAGCUUGCAUGGGACCCCUAAGCAAGAGUGAUUAUUAAUAAAUACUUCAAGAUAAAUAUGAAGCUGAUAAACAAAGGUGAUUACUAAUUGCAACACUUUCUAAAUGAAGAUAAACAUUUUUUUUUCUUAAUUUUUAAAAACAUCUAAGCAGAUGUUUGGAAUCAUUCAUCUUACACUACCGAUUCACGAAGUUCAGCUCUGACCAGAGCAAAUUUGAGGCUAUCAAUUAUAAACCACUAAAUCUGAUUCCUGUCCUAGAAAAACACCUAAUUCAUUUCAGAGGGAUUAAGCACAGUCUCACUCUAAAGCUGAAAAGAGUUAGAUGCUCACUGACAGUGGCUCAUUAACAAGGAACCUGACAGGUUUAUUGAAAGGAAUGGCAAGGAAUACUGAGCAAAACAGGUAAUUGCACAUGAUUUACUUGUAUUUCAGUGGGACUUCUGAUGAAACAUUAAACAGGUAGCAAGUGAGAUUAAAAAACAAAAAGAUAGUUUAACUAGUAACAUAAUAAAAUGGUGGAGAACUGGCUGGCAAGAAGACUUAUGGUUAAAAGAACAAGUGCUUUCUUCAUCUAAUUUCAGCCACAUUACAUGCAGGAAGAAUUUGCCUCAGGGAAUCCUAAUGAUCAUAAAGUAAUGUACCAGAAGUCUCAGCGAAGAAACUGCUGCUGUUCAGAUAUUCAUAAGGGCCUUGAAAAAUUAAACUAUUACACUGGAUUUAACCACGGAGGUCGCAUUUCUUUAAAAAGACACAUAAUAAUAGUAUGCACUUCUCCUCUACUAUAUUUUAAAUACUAUAUUUUAAAACAAAUACAACUUUCUUUUUAAACAUUGAGUUCUUUUCUCCUUUUAUUAUUCUAGGUUAUUUAUUGAGCACAGUUGCCAGGCUUAAUCUACUGCCCGUUUCAACUGCUAUCCUACUUUCCUCACUGGAAAGAACAGCAUAAGCUUAAGUAUUUUUUUGUUUGUUUGUUUUGUAAUAAUCUCCAUAAUAACAACUAGCUCUUAAAAACACUGAAGUUAGAGAUCUUGUUUGUAAAUAAUAAAAUAAUACAUUUAGAAGUGUUUAUCAAAGAAGUCCACGCAGUUAAACAGACUUCCAAAUGAUAUAGUUGUAUUAUUUAAACUCCAAAGUUUUCAGUGAACUACUUACAGAAUUUAAACUUUGUGCAUGCACACGUAUUCUAAGUGCAUCUCAAUUUGGUGAUUUGUUUUCUUAACACUGGUGAGUUUGCCUCUAAGAAUCUCAAAUAAGCCAUGAAGUAUCGAUGUCUUUUGGAGGUAAUACUACAUAUGAAGAGAUGCAAUUUUUUUCAUUUUUUAAUAUUUUUCUUAUACUCUUGUGAGUAAAGUUACAUGACAUACUCUCAGAUACAUUAGCUAAGAUGGCAAAAUUAAACCAUGAAAUAUGCAGAGGCUCACUCAGUUUUUACAGCAAGUAGUGCUCUAUAGCAGACCCAGGAGACAGAUGGUAUUCUCUUGUACUAUUUCAGUACCCAUGGGUUUGUGUGGUUCCUGUCAGCCAUUUCAAGUCCAACAAGGGCCUGUGUCUCAGCUGUAAUAAACUGCAGUGAAUGUAUAGCUACACUAUUUUGGACUAAGCACCGCUUACUGAAUGCUUAAGUCAGUUAUUUCCAAAAGAUGAACUAACUGUAAAAUUGUCUUGUUUUUUUUCUCUCCUCAUCCUGAAAGAUUCUGAUUAUGUGUAAGGGCAAACAUUUUCAAGUGUCUUAAAGGCAGUCACAUACUUCCUUUAAGUGACUAAUCCUUGAUCUGCAUUUAGGGAUUCAAAAUGCAGAUGAAAAUUUUACAGUAGAAAAUUAUACUACAGCUGAUUAAGUUAAUUCAACUAUUAGAAAGGUAUGCAUUUCAAAUUAAAUAGCAGUUCCAAUAAUCAGAGUAAAUGCUAAUGUGAUCAGUCACAAAGCUGAUGCAAUCAUGUAUCAAGAUAGCACCUUGUUACACAGGCUUUUUUCCCCCCUUAGGAUUUCAUCCUCCUCUUUCAUUCCGCUAGAUUUUUGAAAAAGACCUACUUUCAAACAUCAGAAGUGAGACCACCUCUAGGUCAGCUUAUAAUAGAGCAGUUAUCCACUCACCUACCUUAAUUUGUGUAAGGUCUUCCUCUCUUACUUAGCUGGAGAAGUAGGUGUCAGUAGGACACAGCUACACAGAAGUUUUGUAAUUGUUCACCUCUAGACUUCCCUUUGAAGCCUAGAUAUUAAUUUCUUAAUGGAUACAUGGUAGUUAAACAGCUGAUAUCUAUCAGAUUUGGGUAAGACAGAUUUAAGUUCUUCACAAAGAUUUGGGAUCAAAUGCUGUACUGUAGCAAGAAAAAUAUUAAAUUUAGUGGUGAUCAAAAUCAUGAAGAACAUUUCUGCCCUAUUUCUUUCUGUCCCUUUUAGCACUUGCUACAAAGUACUCUGUGAGAAAUGAAAGAAAACUCACAAUCCAUCUUAGAUGGAUCAAAAUAUUAAAGAACAUGCAGAGUAUUACUAAAUAUGCAGUAAUUUGCUUCAGCAGUAUCUAUUUUUUAGAAGGCUUUUAAAUAGUCUUAAAUGCAGGUUACUACUAUCCCCAUUAAGACUUCGGUCCUUUAGUAGCUAUAACAGCUGCAUUCCUUCUUUCACAAUUCACUGCUCUGAAGAGACAUGUCCCAUUACAUUUUUUAUUUCACUCCCUUGUACUUAAAGGAUAGGAUAGUUAAAGUAACUAGAGGGACAUGAAAUGGAGGCCUAAACUCGCUAUGGAUUUCCUUAAGACUCAAAUACACAUCAAUCCAAUUUCACCAAUCUCUGUGAGGAAAUACAUCCUCAUCACCACAGUGGUUACCAAAAUUGUCAGAGAUCAAUAAGCAGGUGACAGCACUCUUCUGAACAUGCAGAAGCCAACAACAGCAACACCAAAAUACAAAAUGUCAAGUCACAGAACCUUACAAGAUUUGUGUGAGAUUUGACAUAUUUCCUCCAUGGAAACCUGAAAUUAUUUUAGGAAAGUAAACGUCCACCUGACUAAGAGUGCAGAAAGUAAACCAUGGAUCACCUGUAAUUAGAAAUACAGAACUAUUUUCUGGAACAGCUUUCUGUCCUCUCGUUUAGGUAGAGAUAUCUACAUAAUCUAUUAGAUCAAUGAAAGAGGUGUCAACCUUUCUGGUGAGCAGAGACAAGGGCUCAGCUUUGCCUACACUGCUUAUAUUAACAGAGAUAUUUUUUGGAUCCUCCCAUACUAGCAGUUGAUGCACAUGUUGGAAACUUCCCGAAUGUUGCAUAAAAGAGGCUCUUAAGGGAAAAAACACUGUUUAUGAUAAGUCAACUAUACAUAGUAAACCAAAUAAAACGAGUUUAUUUUCUCUCUGUUCUGAAUACUGUUAUAAAAUGAGCAGAUGUGGCUUUUGUUUGCUUUUUUUGCAAAAUACUAGUAAUUCCUUAAUAUAUGCAAAGAGGUAACAGAGGGACACCACUUAGAACUGAAAACAAGCAAUAUAUCAGAAAUUUUAGAAGAUGCAUUCCAUUUUUUUUUUUUUUUAAGGGGAAAUAAUAGAUAAGUAUAAAACAGGGAAGAAUUUUUCUGUGGGAAAUUCGCUAAGAAGAUGAGUAAGGUAACGUUGACACUAAAAAGUAAUUUUUAAUCUCAUAGCAUAUACCUAUAUUUCUUUUCAUUUUGAAUUUUACUUCGUGCCAUCAAGACUGGAAGUGUAUGAGUAAGACUAAGUGCUUUUCUGCAAACAAAAAGAAGUUGUCAUAUGUUGUGAAAAAUAAAUUAUUACAUACCAAGAAACUUUCCUUCUCCCCCUAAACUAAUACCGCUGUUUAUCAACAAGGCUAAAUAAAGACAAUAAGUGAGUGCAAAUAUUUCCUAGUUACAUGUACUAGGUGGAUUCUGCAAAUUGAUCAUUAGAAACCAGCUUAAGCAGAAGCUUAAACGCAUCCUCACUGACAGCUACUUUAAUUUGCUUCGUACACAAUCCUGGACUUCUGAAUUUCUACAGCCCCAAUGGACCAGUAGAACAAGGUUUAUGCUGAAGUUAACAUUUCCACAACAAUGAGCUAUUCACUGUGCUUAAAGACCCUCCAAUGCACCGAAUCACAAUCUUUUUUACCCCAAGUACUCAGUUGAAGCAUAGAUGUUCUAGUUCAGAAUUACCAAUAGAAUUUCUCAUGCUUACCUUCUUAUAGCCCUUGGAAGAGAAAUAUUCUUUUUUCUCUCUCAUUAUUCUUCUGCUCCCAUAUUUACAUAGCAAAAAAACGUUGUUUUAUUUUUCCAAUAUUUUUCUUUAUAGUUUUGUAAAAGCAAACUGCCAGCAGGUGGUAUACAAAUCAAAAUAUGCUGACUAGAAAGACAAGCUAGAAAAGACUGUUCUAUACUAAUCAAAACCAGAAACAUAUCCUAGAGUAAAUGCUAGCGCAUCAGUGGCUCAACUAAUGUGAUAGUAAGGUUAGAGAGAUACAAAAAAGGAAGCACACACAACACAGAAGGAUCUUAAAAGAAUAUUCUCCCAGCUACUUUAUUGAUCUUGCAUGAUUUAAUGUUUAGAAAUAAGUUCAGGUUCGGGUAAGCUAUUAGGAAAAAUUUCUUUUCUGAAAGAGUGAUCAGGUGCUGGAACAGGCUGCAUAUGGAGUUGGAGUCACAAUCCCUGGAGGUAUUCAAGAAACGUUUAGAUGUUGUACUAAGGGAUAUGGUUUAGUGGGGAAAUAUUGGUGGUAGGUGGACUAGAUUUUGGAGGUCUUCUACAGCCCUGGUGAUUCUAUGGAUGUAAAACUAUUCAAGUGAGACAGCUUAUAACUCCAUUAUAAAAGCAGAAUCAAUCACACACUGAAAAAUUCUACCCUCUAGUUCAAUUCAGAAACACAAAGGGAAAAAUUGAGUUUAACUACUUUAACGAAGAACAAAACUUGGGCUGUGCAUUUCUUUGUAUUGACAUUGUUUUGUCAAGGAUGAGGAAGGAAAAAAAAAAUCAAAUAAGAGUCUUGUAUGCAGACCUAAAUUUAUCCAUCAUUCUUAGUAAAUGCAUAUGAUUUAAUCACAAUUUCUUAGUCAUUCAGUAGCUAUUAUAAAGCUGGAAGGAGUAUUUGCUAAGAGCUGUUUUAUGGCAAGGACGCUACAAAUCAGCAAGUACAUUCGACAAAUGUUCCAAUGAAAUGACACAAGUUCUUUUGUCUGGUUCUUGUGCUAAAAUAUGCUUAGUCUUAUCAAAUGGAAAGUGAAGUAUUCAAACAAGACAGAAGUAUAAUUUAGGUCAAAAUGUGUUUUUUAGAUGGUGAAACUAAGCAUUAUAAAUCUAUAUAUAAAACACUUAACCCAAAUCAACAAUAUUACAAAAAGUUGUCAUUCAAUACGGAAAAAAAAAAAAUGUAGCACCUGUACAAAUAAAGACCACUGAUUAAAUCUUAUAGAUGCAACCCUCCUAGGCUUUUUCCUACAUGAAGUGUAAGAAAGAUCUACUACGCUUACUAAAGCUGCUUUAUACAAACCAUUUUUCUUCAGACUCUAAAGUUAUGUUAUUUAUUUUAAAAGAAAACAUUGUAAUUUCCAUCCAUUUCAGUGGCCAUGUCAUCUUCCUUUCCUAUUUACUAUAGGAGUGAAGAUAAUACAUUAAGGUCAUGCCUUUAAAAAAAAAAUCUUUAAAAAAAGGAAAACUGCAUUUGUAUAAUAAGAAACGUGUGGGGAAGUACUGAAGUAACCCUACAACAUACUUGUGUUGAUCAGUCCACAGAAUCAGCAUGGUGCCCAUGAUCACAUUAAGCAUCAUUAAAGGCUUAAUUUUUAUGUUGACAACAUUAAGGGAUCUUUCAGUAUUACACAAUUUAUAAAUUUAAGCAACUACUUUUUAAGUUUAUGUUUAGUAGAGAAUAUUUAAUACUAGUUUAGCAAGACUUCCUUAACAGUUGCUGAAAAAAAACAAACCUUGUGAGAUACAUCCCAUUGUGAGAUAAAAUGCCUGAAGUAUGUUACAAGAACAGCUUUCUAAAAGUGUAUACUUCACUGAUUGUAAAGAAAGCUCAAUUAACAGGCUUAGUUACAGACAUCUACAUUAUAUAUACUUGAAGAUUAUAUGAAUCUAAGACUUUUUCUAAAAAGAAUGAAAGAUCAGAUAAAAAGUAAUACCUCUAAAAAGAUUUAAACCAGUUAAUCUUCAUGAAGAAUCUAAACUUCCUGAAGCAAAACAGUCUCUGUAAAUAGAAACUACCACUCUGUGUAACCUACAUCUGUAACAGCAACUUAAAUCUGCUGUAACUUCAGUUGCUAUUAUUUGUGUAGAAGUCACAGUUGAGUAGAGAUAGUACCAUUUUGCUAAAGUAGUCAAAUUCUUGAUAUUCUGACCUUCAUGCAUUUAUUUUGUUUUACUUAAAGAAAACAAAGACUUAAAGAUAUUUAUUUUACUUUCAAGAUCAUUACUUUCAAAAGCUGCUUUACUACUUCUGAUGUUGAAAAAGCUAUAAUAAAAUUGUUUGCUGUUCCUGUAAUUUUCAUCUUGGCCAAGUUUAAAGCUAUUGUCUGCACAACUACAUAAAUUCUAACUACAAUGAAAGGCAAAGACUUAGAUUCCACUCUUUACUUUAUCCACAGAUCUCGGAGUCCAACAAGUUUCUUAGAUGCAACUCCCACUGGCAGGCUAAUGAACCAUUUUCCUAAUAAUAUAGAUGAAUUGGUCAUGAGCCUCCCACUUCACGCUGAGUACUUUUUGCAGGAGUUUAAAGCGUUUUUUAUUCCAGUCAUAACAACUCAUGUUUUUUCUUUUCUGCAAAUCGAAGUUGCUACCAGCUAUUAUUUUGGUUUUGUUUUAAAGUAAGCCGAUAUACAUUUCUUUCAAGAUAUUUUAAGUGACUUGAAUUAUCCUUUGUUUGAACAAUAAAAACUUACAGUCCACAUUGUCUUAUUUUAUUCAAAAACUUCAGAUCUGCAGAUUCAUUUGUAAAGGCUGAGUUAGAAGUUGAAAACUGUGGAACCAAGACUCUAAAGUAGCAAGGACACCUAGUACAGCAAGCCCUCAGUUGUUUAUGUAAAGGGCUACAUUUAGUCUUUGGUUAAACCAGUUUUUCCUGAAUGUACCCAAGUCUCUUCACCUGUGUAGAACAGGAUGACAGUUACACAUCAGCUGCUAUUGCCAGUUCACUCAGAGUCCCACAGCUAGCAAUAAAGACCCAGAAAUAUGCCACAUUAGCAGGAAUAGCAAUUGAGAGAGCAAUCAGCAAUGCAAAAAUACAGCAAAUUCAAAGAUACCACCUUACAUUCAGCCACAACUUCAAAGAGUUCAGAAAGAAUUCAGGUGGGGUUUUUUUGUUGUUGUUUUUUUUUUUUUUUUUUUGAAAGGUAGAUGCUUGAUUAGGUAUUUCUGUUGCUCAGCCUACUCUCCCCUUCUGACAAUAACAAUUCCAGCAUUAUAAUUAUUUUUAUGGUAUGUAUUGCCAUACUUCAAUGUUCAUAUUGCAUCACUAACAGAAGAACACAAAAUAACAUAAGAGAUUUCACAGGGUGAGGAUCUUGCAUAAUCUCAUUAGUAAUACAUUAUGCAUACUGAAACACAACAGGACAUUCUGAAUACUUUAUUGGUAUAUUUCUAUGCUAAAACCUUCAGGGAGGAGUCGAAGAAGAAGGUAUAAAAAUGACAGGUUAUAUAAAUAGGUACAGAGGUUGCCACAGCAUAACUGACAAUUGACCUGAGAGAAAUUGAAGGGAACUCAAAAGUGGUAGCUGCUCCUCUAAAGAAGAGAUCGCAUUUCAAGAUAGACUGCUAAAAUGACUAUUUCUGGAAACUGCAUGCAAGAGCACCGUUCUAAAUUUCUACGGCUCUACCAAACCCAGAUAAAAUUGCUGCCACUGUGCUCAGGAAAUACAGGGACUACCUUCUUGUAGGCUUCUGGAGGUGUAAGAUUCUUAAUGUAAAAAGAUAUUUUAAAUGUUAAAAUGAAGAAAAAGGCACGGUCUCAAUUUUCUCUAAAUUGAAAGCAGAACUCAGCUGAUUUGAAAAGAAAAGCAGAUAUUGGAAGAAUAUAGAGUUCUGCAUUCACGGACAUUCAAGCCAAAUUACACCACACAAACAUGAGAGCUGUUAGCUCACAUAUGUUGAAAAGUCUCAGAUCAAAUCACUUGACAUGAGUCAGUAUUGUUACAAAAUUAUUGGCUGUGAUUUGCACCCACUGCUUUUACUGACACAUAAGAUUGGUAUAUUGUAUUUCCUUUGUGUUGCAGAAUUUUUCUGAGAGCUAAUAAGAACUGAAAAUAAUUGAAACAGCAGAUCACCGCUGUAGCCUCAUUCUUUUGUGCAAAGUCUCAAAGUAAUUUAUGUUUAAUACAGAAAAGAUGACUAUAUCAACCUUGAAAACUUGAAAUUCUUUGUUUCAUUUUUUCUCU